rnacentral:rRNA from 1 species
AGUAGUUUGAUCAUGGCUCAGAGCGAACGCUGGCGGCAGGCUUAACACAUGCAAGUCGAGCGGGCGUAGCAAUACGUCAGCGGCAGACGGGUGAGUAACGCGUGGAACGUACCUUUUGGUUCGGAACAACUGAGGGAAACUUCAGCUAAUACCGGAUAAGCCCUUACGGGGAAAGAUUUAUCGCCGAAAGAUCGGCCCGCGUCUGAUUAGCUAGUUGGUGAGGUAACGGCUCACCAAGGCGACGAUCAGUAGCUGGUCUGAGAGGAUGAUCAGCCACAUUGGGACUGAGACACGGCCCAAACUCCUACGGGAGGCAGCAGUGGGGAAUAUUGGACAAUGGGCGAAAGCCUGAUCCAGCAAUGCCGCGUGAGUGAUGAAGGCCUUCGGGUCGUAAAGCUCUUUUACCAGGGAUGAUAAUGACAGUACCUGGAGAAUAAGCUCCGGCUAACUCCGUG